GCUGGCGGCAUGCCUAACACAUGCAAGUCGAACGCGAAAGCGGGCUUCGGUCCGUGAGUAGAGUGGCAAACGGGUGAGUAACACGUGGGCGACCUGCCUUCGAGUGGGGGAUAACCUUCCGAAAGGAGGGCUAAUACCGCAUGACAUCCCGUGUUUGGAUACACGGUGAUCAAAGCCGGGGAUCGCAAGACCUGGCGCUUGAAGAGGGGCCCGCGCCCGAUUAGCUUGUUGGUGAGGUCACGGCUCACCAAGGCUUCGAUCGGUAGCCGGCCUGAGAGGGCGGACGGCCACACUGGGACUGAGACACGGCCCAGACUCCUACGGGAGGCAGCAGUGGGGAAUUGUUCGCAAUGGGCGAAAGCCUGACGACGCAAUGCCGCGUGGAGGAUGAAGACUUUCGGGUCGUAAACUCCUUUCGACCGAGAUGAAUGCCCGCCGACCUAAUACGUCGGCGGGGUGACAGUAUCGGGAGAAGAAGCCCCGGCUAACUCCGUGCCAGCAGCCGCGGUAAUACGGGGGGGGCGAGCGUUGUUCGGAAUUACUGGGCGUAAAGGGUUUGUAGGUGGCCUAUCAAGUCAGACGUGAAAUCCCUCGGCUCAACCGGGGAACUGCGUCUGAAACUGAUGGGCUUGAGUGCAGGAGAGGAACGCGGAAUUCCAGGUGUAGCGGUGAAAUGCGUAGAUAUCUGGAGGAACACCGGUGGCGAA
rnacentral:rRNA from 1 species